GAGUUUGAUCAUGGCUCAGAACGAACGCUGGCGGCAGGCUUAACACAUGCAAGUCGAACGCAUCCUUCGGGGUGAGUGGCAGACGGGUGAGUAACGCGCGGGAACGUGCCCUUCAGUUCGGAAUAACCCAGGGAAACUUGGGCUAAUACCGGAUACGUGCGAGAGCAGAAAGAUUUAUCGCCGAAGGAUCGGCCCGCGUCUGAUUAGCUAGUUGGUGAGGUAAUGGCUCACCAAGGCGACGAUCAGUAGCUGGUCUGAGAGGAUGAUCAGCCACAUUGGGACUGAGACACGGCCCAAACUCCUACGGGAGGCAGCAGUGGGGAAUAUUGGACAAUGGGCGCAAGCCUGAUCCAGCCAUGCCGCGUGAGUGAUGAAGGCCUUAGGGUUGUAAAGCUCUUUCAGUGGGGACGAUAAUGACGGUACCCGCAGAAGAAGCCCCGGCUAACUUCGUGCCAGCAGCCGCAGU
rnacentral:rRNA from 1 species